UACGGAGGGAGCUAGCGUUGUUCGGAAUUACUGGGCGUAAAGCGCGUGUAGGCGGGCUGAUAAGUCGGACGUGAAAGCCCUGGGCUCAACCCAGGAACUGCAUCCGAAACUGCCAGUCUGGAGUGGUGGAGAGGGAAGCAGAAUUCCUGGUGUAGAGGUGAAAUUCGUAGAUAUCAGGAGGAACACCGGUGGCGAAGGCGGCUUCCUGGACACUAACUGACGCUGAGACGCGAAAGCGUGGGGAGCAAACAGGG
rnacentral:rRNA from 1 species